rnacentral:rRNA from 1 species
AGAUUGAACGCUGGCGGCAUGCCUUACACAUGCAAGUCGAACGGCAGCAUGGGUGCUUGCACCUGAUGGCGAGUGGCGAACGGGUGAGUAAUGCAUCGGAACGUACCCGGAAGUGGGGGAUAACGUAGCGAAAGUUACGCUAAUACCGCAUAUUCUGUGAGCAGGAAAGCGGGGGAUCGCAAGACCUCGCGCUUCCGGAGCGGCCGAUGUCGGAUUAGCUAGUUGGCGGGGUAAAGGCCCACCAAGGCAACGAUCCGUAGCGGGUCUGAGAGGAUGAUCCGCCACACUGGGACUGAGACACGGCCCAGACUCCUACGGGAGGCAGCAGUGGGGAAUUUUGGACAAUGGGGGCAACCCUGAUCCAGCCAUGCCGCGUGAGUGAAGAAGGCCUUCGGGUUGUAAAGCUCUUUCGGCUGGGAAGAAAUCGCAUCUCCUAAUACGGGGUGUGGAUGACGGUACCAGCAUAAGAAGCACCGGCUAACUACGUG